rnacentral:misc_RNA from 1 species
GAAAUCAGAAUGUUACUCCCUAGUUCAUUAACUGUUGAAUAUUCAUGUAACAGAUGAAACUGGUGUCUGCCAUUGUAUACUCAGACACAUUUCAACCCAGAUCGAUGGCAAGACAUUAUCUAUCAACUGGCAUUGUUGACUUCAGACCAUUAGAAAGAUAAUUCUAGUAGAUAAUACUGAUGAUUGCAUUGUUUAAUCACAAAAGGAAAAUUCCAAAUGUUUGUGUAUGUAAUGAAUUCUGAAAAUAAACAAAGA